rnacentral:tRNA from 1 species
GGGAAUGUAGCUCAGUGGUAGAGUGCUGCCUCACAUGCAGGAAGCCCUGGGUUUGAUCCCCAGCCCA